GACGAACGCUGGCGGCGUGCUUAACACAUGCAAGUCGAACGGAAAGGCCCUGCUUUUGUGGGGUGCUCGAGUGGCGAACGGGUGAGUAACACGUGAGUAACCUGCCCUUGACUUUGGGAUAACUUCAGGAAACUGGGGCUAAUACCGGAUAGGAGCUCCUGCUGCAUGGUGGGGGUUGGAAAGUUUCGGCGGUUGGGGAUGGACUCGCGGCUUAUCAGCUUGUUGGUGGGGUAGUGGCUUACCAAGGCUUUGACGGGUAGCCGGCCUGAGAGGGUGACCGGCCACAUUGGGACUGAGAUACGGCCCAGACUCCUAUGGGAGGCAGCAGUGGGGAAUAUUGCACAAUGGGCGAAAGCCUGAUGCAGCAACGCCGCGUGCGGGAUGACGGCCUUCGGGUUGUAAACCGCUUUCGCCUGUGACGAAGCGUGAGUGACGGUAAUGGGUAAAGAAGCACCGGCUAACUACGUG
rnacentral:rRNA from 1 species